CGUAGACUCAUCCGUUCAACGCAGGCCAACGCGUGAGACCUACGCGUCAUCCUUGCCCGCGCACGAAAUCGCCUGCAUCUGCUUGGUCACGCCUCGGUCUUGUCCUCACCUCGCACGCCAUCACCUCGUCGCCGCCUCCUCACCCUCUCCUCCUCGCGCCGUCGCCGGCCUUCUCCGAGCCAACGUUCCGCCUCAUCUUACAAAUCGGGGGCCUUUGGCUGCCCUGUGCUGGAUCCGCCGCCGCCAGCUCCAACUUCGUUCCUUUUGCCGUCAGCAACCACGAUGGUGCGGGCGGCGGGCCAGGCUGGUCCGAGCGGCGCUGGUCGUCGCCUCGGAGGCGCGGGCGAUGUUGGUGGUGCAGUCAGUCGGCAUCGACGGGAUGCCCCGCCCGGUCUGUUGGUGGUGCGAGCGGCACAUUCAACAGGACCGACCGGUCGGGCCAUGGUCGAGCGGCGCGGCCACGAUAAGUGACGACGAGGUGAAGAGAGCACUGGCCGGUGGCUCACACCGCCAUCUUUGCCAUGCAUGAGGUCCAUGACCGCUCGCAGCUGUUGAGAUCGAGGUUCGUCCCCUUCCAUCAUCCUCUGGUGCGCCUGCCCGUGCUGUGCUUCCUGUUCUGUGCGCUGCCACUGAGCUCACCAAGGCACCAUGCCCUUGUGCCAGGAGCGCGUUGCCGACGGCCAUGCUUGAUGCCCAUCGACUCAGCCACCGUCCUCAUGGGUCAUGGCCGAGGUGAUUUUGUUGUUCUUGCUGCUGCCAGUACUUGCACUUUAGGUGCUUGAUUAAAUGACCGUUACAGAUGAUAAAUUCAUUGCAUCUUUUUUCAAUACAUAUCCCCGAUGGCCUUUGUAAUCAGUAUGAGAAAUUCAUAGGACACGUUGAGAUCUCUAUUAUUCUAUUUUGCAGGUAAAUGUUCCUUUCAGUUUCAUAGCCAUGCAUAUUUUUGCCUUCCAUUUCUGAAAGCCCUCCUUGAGGUCUGCUGCUCAGCCAGAUAACGAUAUCUUGGUGCUGCUUCUAUGAGAGUGUGAAAGGGCAACUUUUCUUCAAUAAUUGGAAACUAUUCCAACUGUUAUGGUGAUAUAGCGAACCAACCAAUUGAACUGGUGUCCUCUUAAUAAAUUUGUGGCUGCAGUACAUGACUCCGUACCUUCACUUUUGGCAUGUGCAGCAAGCUCUGUUUCAGUCUGAGUGCUCUGUGAACCACUCAGCCUAUCUAUUGGAUGAUGUUCUGGAGUGAGUUGUAUUUUCCACAUGUUAGAAGGAUACUCACAAACUAGCACUAUCUAAAACUUUGCCUUUCAAGUUGAUGGAGACUCACAGAAUUUUAUGGAAGAAUGUUUGAGAUAAUUGCCUACAAAUCAUAAAUUUCUAGGUUUCUCUUUACAGAAAAGUUUGUUACAAGGUCCAUUAGCACAAUCUGUGGCAUUCAGUGCAACUAUUGAUAUGUUAUAUCAUCUGUUCCCAAAGACCUGAUGAAAUACUCCUUUGUUUCAUUGCUUACUAAAUAGAUAUGGAAAAUUAUCUGUAUAUGUAAAAUGGGUUAGAUGCUCUCAUUGGAUGUCUUUUACAUAUUUAUUUGUAUGGAGUGAAAUGAGCUGUUCUAAUUAUAUAUCUUGCCUUUCCUGUCAUUUCAAUAUUUGUUCAUUUGAGUAAUAUCUUUUUUUUUUCAUGUAAUGAGCCUUCAUAAACUAUGUCUAUUCAGAUAUCAAAGUUUUGCUAAUUAAUGUUCAAUUUUUCUGUAUAAGGUAUAUAUCUUAGUGUCCUUAAAUUGGAUAAUUCAUAGUUUUCUUGGCUAUGCUUAUUUGUAUGGAUAUAUUUGAAGGAUGCUGAAAAAAAUCAUAUUAAGACCACUCGGCUAUGCUUAUUUGCUGCCACUAAUGUAUGUUAAUGAUGAAACUACUUUUCUUUCUUUCUUGACGUUCCUUCCUUUUUCUCAUUCAUUCAUAUCGUCAAUGAUCAACUUCUCUUUCAACAUUCGUUUCAAAUUGUGUGCAGGAUGGUUGUCUACUCCUAAAUUAUUUAUUUUUGUGUCUUUCAGGUAAGCUCCAUAUUUCUUUUUCUUUGCGCCUACACACUUCAUUCCAGCAGAGUAAUUGCUACAGUGUUAAGCUCAUGACCUUCCUUUGUUAAAACCCAGUAUGCUGUUUAUUUUCAUUUGCUAAAGUUUAAUGGUAGGAAAAAGAGAAAAGUUGAUACGGAUGUUGUCCCGAUCUUCAUGACGUAGGAUCCCGAACAAGAUAACUAGCUAUAGAACAGCCAAGAUAACUUGUUGCAAGCAGCGAUAACUAGUGCAACCUGUCAAAUAAAACUUGAAGCCAACCACCAUCUUUUUUUUUCUAGAAUACGCAGGAGAACUGCGCAUCAUUCAAUUAAGAGGAAGGUAAAAACGAUGUUUGUACAACGCGGGCUAUUAACCGAGCACUAGCACACGGUAGUGGAAAUAGACAGAGAUUACAUUUGUUAAAAGGGGGGCGUCUACUAGCAGAAUUUAAGACAUAGAAUUUGCAAUGCUAGCUAAUGAUUAGGAGGCUUCCAACCAAAAGCUUCCAUGUUUCGGGCACCACUUUGAGCCCAAAGCGAUGCUUCUUCGACAAUGAGCGGCAUGAGCUGUUGCGGUGUUCUAGCAACGUCAGUUGCAAAGGCUCGGCCGUUCCUCUCUUUCCAUAACCUCCAGCAGACCAGCAUGACUGUAGAAUCCAGGCCUCUAGCUUUGAUGUUGGUCAUAUUAGCACGGAUAGACAACCACCAAUCAAUCAAGUUGGAAUUUGGGGUGAGGUUCGGUAACUGGUUGUUAGUCAUUAGCCCAACCUGAAGCCACACCUGACGGGAGUAGUCGCAAUGACUGAAUAGGUGAUCCACCGUUUCAGCUUCUUGGCCACAGAGAUUGCACUCAUCAGUAUUCUGCAACCCAUGCCGUUUGCGCCUUGCGGCGGUCCAGAUCCUACCCUUGGCCGCGAGGCAAAUGAAGAACUUAACUUUCAAGGGUGCCCAAGUGCACCACACGGUCCUGAAGAUCGGCGAAACAGUGGAGCCACGGAAGAACAUAUGGUAUGCCGAUCGGGCGGAGUAUGUCCUGUAGGCUUCCCAACGCCAGGAGAUGACAUCCUCGACGCCGGCCUGCAAAUGGACAGUGGCAACCGUAUGCCAAAGCUGGACAUACUGCCUAAUGCCGCUGACUGUAGCUCGUCCGACAAUAUCGCGAAUCCACACCUUGUCUGUCAGGGCAGCCGCUACGGUUCUGGUUCUUCUUGUUUUGGGUUUGACCAUAGCACAAAGGUCUGGUGCGAGGAAGCAUGGUGAGGAGUCCCCCAGCCAGUUGUCCUCCCAGAAAAGAGCCGCAUUACCAUCACCUAGCUGAACUAGGAUCGAUGCUUGGAAGAUACUUCGCAGGUUCUUGUCUCUGUCAUAAUCAGUGCUUAAUUGGAUCCACUGGCAACUACCAUCUUUAACCGGCAACCUGAAUCGAGGAUUCGCCCAACUACACUCUCAAAGAAUCAACCAACACAACCUGGAAUCAAUGGAUCAGGAGCACCAAUUGGGAGCUGAUGACACGGCCGCUUCUGUAAUCCCUCAAGGAAAUCACAAGAGCAAAGGGGUAGAGAUCCCUCUUUGAAUUUGUUAGCACAUAGCUGAACAAAAGGGGUUCUAUUUCAUUAUCAGAAAGUCUUGUGUAAUCUCUAAGAUACAUGGGGUAUUUAUACUAGGAACAUUCCUCCAAGUUGGGUGUGAAAUUGACUUGAAGUUUCUGGAGAUAAGCUAGCUAAAAGGUCAUCCCGAGAAGCAACUCCCGUCAGUUCUGGUGCAUCUCCUCAACUUCUGGCAGUGGUCAUUAAAAUGACCAUUACUCCAUAUUGGGAAGUCCAAAUGACGAGCUGUUUGUUGGGUUGGAAACUAGACUUGAGUGAGCUUCCAAUCAUGUGUAUCAUGUACCGCGAGUCCUUGCAGAUUGGUACAGACUUGCACGAGAAGUUGAAGGUGUAACCUGUCUCAACUCAAGGUCCUGCGCAUGUAACUUGUCUCAGCUUGGACAGCCACCUUGUUGGUCUUCAUGUAACCUAUCCUUGACUUCACAUAAGCCUCUUCUUUUUUCAUGUAACCUUUCUCCACCGAGUGUCAUCUAUGACCUCAUGUGUAAACCUUAAAAUAAUAAGAGUACAACACUUAGAUAGUAAACAAUUCUCAUUCGUGUGUAACUUAAAUUCAGCAAGGAGAGAAUUCACCUCUUGUUGUAGCUUCUUGGCACGACUUCGUGUAACCGGCCCUUGGUUUACAUUGUUUGGUGUGGCUUGUUCAUCCACUUGUGUAACUGGUUCAUGGUUUACGUAUGAUGUUUUAGGAUUGGGGGGGGGGGGGGGUGUCCGUAUCAUCCUCCCCCUCUUGAAAAGGAGUCAUCCUCUACUCUAAUUCUUCUAAGCCCAUGAAUGGUUAUAGAUCAGCAACAUUGAAUGUUGUACUGACACCAUAAUCUUCAGGAAGGUCAAUCUUGUAUGCAUUGUCAUUGAUUCGUGCCAUCACUUUGAAUGGACCAUCUCCUCGUGGCAUCAACUUUGAUUUACACCUUUCAGGAAAGCGAUCCUUACGUGGAUGUACCCAAACUAGAUCACCCUGUUCAAAUAUCACUUUCUUCUGAUGCUUGUUUGCCUUGGCUGCAAAAUACUUCACCUUCUUAUCAAGUUCUUCCUUGGUCUUCUCAUGUAUCUUCUUUAUGUAUGCAGCACGCUUGGAGGCUUCCAUGUUACUUCGUUCCUGCAAAGGUAAUGGCAACAAAUCUAUGGGAGUAUUUGGUUUGAAACUAUAAACAAUUUUGAAUGGACACAUUUUGGUUGUAGAGUGUAUUGCCCUAUUAUAUGCAAAUUCAACAUGCGGCAAACACUCUUCCCACUCCUUCAAAUUGUUUUUUUAUCACAGCUCGCAAUAGCAUUGAAAGUGUUCGAUUCACCACCUCAGUUUGUCCAUCUAUUUGCGGAUGACAUGUGGUAGAAAACAGCAGCUUCGUUCCAAGUUUUGCCCAAAGUGUCUUCCAAAAAUAACUCACAAACUUAGUGUCACGAUCUGAAAAAAUGGUCCAUGGCAUUCUGUGCAACCUCACAAUUUUCCUAAAAAAUAAAGUAGCUAUGUGGGAAGCAUCAUCACUUUUAUUACAGGGUAUGAAAUGCGCCAUUUUUGAGAACCUAUCAACAACCAUAAAAAUGGAAUCCCUCCCCCUCUUUGUCCUAGGUAAACCCAAAACAAAAUCAAUGCUAAUGCCCUCCCAAUGAACACUAGGAAUAAGCAAUGGAGUGUAUAAGCCAUGAGUGUUCUGCUUUGACUUAGCUUUGUGGCAUGUGACACAACACUGCACAAGUCUCGCAACGUCUCUUCUCAUCUUUGGCCAAUAGAAGUGGUCGCCCAGCAUCUCAUAGGUCUUAUCUCGCCCAAAAUGACCCAUCAAACCACCUGCAUGUGCUUCCUACAGCAACAAAAGUCUAACAGAACAAUUUGGAACACAUAAUUUUGUUAGCUCGAAAUAAAAAUCCAUCAUGCAUGUGGUAUUUUUCCCAUCCUUUCCCUGUUGUACAUUUGGCAUAAGGUUCUUAAAAUUCAUAAACAACAGAGUAUAAUUUUUUUAUGCUCUCUAUUCCCAUCACUUUUACCUCAAGUUGAUUCAACAGAAUAUUUUUUGCGGGAUAAAGCAUCAGUAACAAUGUUAUCUUUACCUAUCUCAUACUUCACAAUGUAUGGGAAAGUCUCAAUAAAUUCAACCCACUUGGCAUGUCGACGGUUCAGUUUAGCUUAGCCUUUCAAGUGUUGCAAAGCUUCAUGAUCUGAAUGGAUAACAAAUUCUUUUGGUCACAAAUAAUGUUGCCAAGUCUCAAAUACUCUUACUCUUACCAAAGUGUACAAUUCCUUAUCAUACACGGAGUAAUUCAGCUGUGCUCCUCCCAACUUCUCGCUGAAGUAUGCAACUGGUUUUGCAUCUUUCAUGAGCACUCCUCCAAUUCCAAUCCCACUUGCAUCACAUUCAACCUCAAAGGUUUUUGUGAAAUUUGGCAACACAAGUAGGGGUGCUUUCGUCAACCGUUUCUUCAAUUCAUGGAAAGCUUUUUCUUGUGGCUCACCCCAUUUGAACACAACACCUUUCUUCAUCAACUCGUUUAAUGGAGCAGUGACGGUGUUGGCCAUUCCUUGAUUGCUGCAACCUUGGAUUCGCCCACUUGAAUUUCUUGUCCAGAGACAACAAAACCAAGAAACACAACUUGAUGUGUGCAAAUGGUGCACUUCUCAAGAUUGGUGCGGUACAUGGACGAUUGGGCGAUGCAGCCCCUGGAAUGAGAUCAAUUUGAUGCUUAAUGCCUCACAAUGGUGGCAGUCCAGCAAGGGUUUUCUCUGGAAAGACAUCCUUGUAGUCCUGCAAAAGAUGUGAAAUAACACUAGGAAGAGAUCUUAUGUUGUUAGCUGAAAGCAAUUUGUCUUUGUACACAAGUACAAUGAAUGUUUGGUAUGGGUUGCGCCUCACAUCUCUCGAUUUGGUGACUAACAUUAUCAGAUUAUUCCCCUCUCUUUUCUUUUGAUCUCUCUCA